rnacentral:rRNA from 1 species
AUUGAACGCUGGCGGCAGGCCUAACACAUGCAAGUCGAACGAGUGGCGGACGGGUGAGUAAUGUCUGGGAAACUGCCUGAUGGAGGGGGAUAACUACUGGAAACGGUAGCUAAUACCGCAUACCAUCAGAUGUGCCCAGAUGGGAUGGGUUUGUUGGUGGGGUAAGGGCUCACCAAGGCGACGAUCCCUAGCUGGUCUGAGAGGAUGACCAGCCAACCUGGAAUUGAGACAGGGUCCAGACCCCUAGGGGAGGAAGCAGUGGGAAAUAUUGCACAAGGGGGGCAAGCCUGAUGCAGCCAUGCCGGGUUUAUGAAGAAGGCCUUCGGGUGGUAAAGUACUUUCAGCGGGGAGGCGUUACCCGCAGAAGAAGCACCGGCUAACUCCGUGCCAGCAGCCGCGGUAAUC